rnacentral:rRNA from 1 species
AAAUAGAUACCCGGGUAGUCCACGCCGUAAACGAUGGAUGCUAGCUGUUAUGCGUAUCGACCCGUGUAGUAGCGAAGCUAACGCGUUAAGCAUCCCGCCUGGGGAGUACGAACGCAAGUUUAAAACUCAAAGGAAUUGACGGGGACCCGCACAAGCGGUGGAGCGUGUUCUUUAAUUCGAGGCUAAGCGAAGAACCUUACCAGGGCUUGACAUCCUUGGAAUUUCUCCGAAAGGAGAGAGUACUUUAUUGGACCAAGUGACAGGUGCUGCAUGGCCGUCGUCAGCUCGUGUCGUGAGAUGUUUGGUUAAGUCCAUUAACGAGCGCAACCCUUAUGAAUAGUUGUAUUUUUCUAUUCAGACUGCCCCGGUAACGGGGAGGAAGGGGGGAUGAUGUCAGGUCAGUAUUGCCCUUACGCCCUGGGCUAGAAACGCGCUACAAUGGCCGGUACAAUGCGCUGCCAACCCGCGAGGGGAGCAAAUCGCAUCAAAGCCGGUCCCAGUUCGGAUAAAGAGGCUGAAACUCGCCUCUUUGAAGCCGGAAUCGCUAGUAAUCGU